CGUUCUGGUCCACCAAAGACCGAAUGGUCGCUCUGUUGCCACGCUUCGCCUCAACCACGCGGGCCCAUCGAGCGGCCUUAGUCCCCUCCCCGCUUACCGAAAGUACUUUAGCUCUGACAACGCAGCCUUCAUGCUUGACAUCAAAGUGUUGGUCGAGGGCCAACUUCGCUGCUAACACGUCGGUUGCGAUGCCUGUCCUAAGAGCCUCGUCAAAUACUUUAGGAAUGAGAACCCAGGUUCGAAAUUUCCCCAAGACACCUGAUGAAGGCUGGAGGGUAUAUCAGCUGAAACGUUGUCAUAACAACAAACAAGAUGAGGACAAAUAUGCGUCAAAUGUAAAUAAUGUAGAUUAUUCCUCAUCUCUUCAAUAUAGAACUGAAUGAGAACCUAAUUAUCUCCCCUAGUUGUUAUUUAUCCUUGACCAGAUUACCGGGAUCUUUAACUUAAACACCGGACCGGUAUGGUUUAUACAACGAUAAUUUUGUCGUUUUACACCGUCUUCUGGGUAUGUUUAUGAUUUGUUGAGUAAAUGAAGUUAUUUCCUGUUAAGAAUCGAGAUAACUACAGAUUCCUGCCCCCACCUCGACUUUGGAUGAUCAUAACUUUCAGAAAAAUGGAUGUUUUUAAUGAAAUUGUCUCCGAAUAUGUGUUAUAUCAUGGAGAUUCCAAAUACACAGGAAAAGAAAAGAAAGAAUUCCAAUCACAACCACAAUGGGUUACUUUUAGGUCACUUGACCAUUUCAGACAAUUCCACAAACCUCCUACUACUGCCAUAAGACUCCCGCAUUUUUAAUAUUCUUCUUCUUCUUAAUAGGUAUGUGAUCAAUUUAUUAAUGAGUUUUGGUCAACAGCGGCACUUUAAGUUCUUUUUAAUUUCCAACUAUCUUCAUAAUGAGAAGAAUUAUUAUUACUACACCAUGUCCUACAAACUAACUUUAUAUGCUGGUCUCCUGCGAUUCCAUGAAAAUCACUCUGUUGCAAUUAAAUUUCUUUCAGCAACAUAAACUUGUUCCCCAUGGAAGACUAUUUCAUUCAUUAACCAUUUUUUAUCAGGCUGUUGGUCACACAGAUCAAUAAUGGACAUAUCUCUCUCGUGUUACCUUGUCAACUGUGUGCUUGUUCUUGUGUAUAUUAUACCCGAGACGGCUUUUGCAAUGUUGAUCUUGAUUUUCUUCUUGGAAAUUUAUGCAGUGCUCAUGGAAACUAACAAAUGUUUUGAUUCGUAUACUCAAUCUGAAAUAUGGCCCUUUUAGUUAUCAUAUUCGUUUUCCACACAUUUUUUUAACACCUAUUAGACUUUUUUUUCCAUUUUAGUGACCGGGUGCUGCUGAGCGAAAGCGAAAUCGUGACGGCACCUGUGCCAGUGGAGCACUAAGAGCAUCAUCCGAGCGCGAUCGUUGCCAGAGCAGCUGUCUGGCUUCCGUGCUGGUGGCACGUACAUAGCACCAGCAUGAUCGAUACCAACGUCGCCUUCCUGGCACUUGUGCCAGUGGCACGUGAAAAGACAUUUGAGCGAGAUCGUUGCCAGUACCGCUGCACUGGCUCCUGACACAUAAAAUACACCAUUUCGAGCGUGGCCAUCGCCAGUACCCGCCUGACUGGCCUUCGUGCCGGUGACACGUAAAAGCACUCACUACAUUCUCAGAGUGGUUGGCGUUAGGAAGGGCAUCCAGCUGUAGAAACUCUGCCAAAUCAGAUUGGAGCCUGGUGUCGCCUCCUGGUCCACCAGUCCUCAGUCAAAUCGUCCAACCCAUGCUAGCAUGGAAAGCGGACGUUAAACGAUGAUGAUGAUGGCAGGCGGGUGUUGGUGAUGAUUUUGGGUUGGAGUUUUUCAUAAAAAAUUUGAAAUUGUUUAUUUUUUCCAUAUUCUUAAUCUCCAUAUUUCCUCACAUAGAUGGGUGAAAAACAAAAAAAAUCUUUUUUUAAAGUUUGAAAAUAAAAAAUAAAAAAACACUUUAAUUUCA